AAAGCUUCGGUGCUUAAGGAUAAGUCGGCGGCUGAUUAGGCUGUUGGUGGGGUAACGGCCCACCAAACCAAAGAUCAGUACGGGCCUUGAGAGAGGUAGCCCGGAGAAGGACACUGAAAUACUGGUCCUAGCCCUACGGGGUGCAGCAGGCGCGAAACCUUUACAAUGCACGAAAGUGUGAUAAGGGAAUCCUAAGUGCUUAUGCUUUGCAUAGGCUUUUGCCAAGAGUAAAAAUCUUGGCGAAUAAGUGGUGGGAAAGACUGGUGCCAGCAGCCGCGGUAACACCAGCGCCACAAGUGGCAAUCAUUUUUAUUGGGCCUAAAGCGUCCGUAGCCGGUUCAGUAAAUCUUUUGUGAAAUCGUUGAGCUCAACUUAGCGGCAUGCAGAGGACACUGCUGAACUAGGAACCGGAAGGAGUCAGAAGUAUUACUGGGGGAGCGGUAAAAUGUUAUAAUCCCAGUAGGACUACCUGUGGCGAAAGCGUCUGACCAGUACGGAUUCGACGGUGAGGGACGAAAGCCAGGGGAGCAAAACGGAUUAGAUACCCGAGUAGUCCUGGCCGUAAACGCUGCGAGCAAGGUGUUGCGUAUUCUUCGAGAAUACGCAGUGUCGAAACGAAGGUAUUAAGCUCGCCGCCUGGGAAGUGUGGUCGCAAGACUGAAACUUAAAGGAAUUGGCGGAGGAGCACCACAAGGGGUGCGGCGUGCGGUUUAAUCUAAUUUAACGCAGAGAAUCUCACCAAAAGCGACGGCAGAAUGAAGGUCAGUCUAAAGGGCUUACCAAACGAGCCGAGAGGUGGUGCAUGGCCGCCGUCAGCUCGUGCCGUGAGGUGUCCUCUUAAGUGAGGCAACGAGCGAGACCUGUACCUACAAUUGCCAGCGAGUCCAUCGGAUGAUCGGGCACAAUGUAGGGACUGCCUUGGAAACAAGGAGGAAGGUGCAGGCAACGGUAGGUCUGUAUGCCCCGAAUCUUUUGGGCUACACGCGCGCAACAAUGGUAGAGACAAUGGGAUACAACUCCGUAAGGAGAAGUUAAACCUCCAAACUCUACCCAAGUUCAGAUUGAAGGCUGUAACUCGCCUUCAUGACGAUGGAAUCCCUAGUAAUUGGACCUCAUCACAGUCCGGUGAAUAUGUCCCUGCUCCUUGCACACACCGCCCGUCAAACCAUCCGAGCAGGGUUUAGAUGAGUAUUAACUUUUUGGUUAUUCCGAAUCUAAGCUCAGUGAGGAGGGUUAAGUCGUCACAAGGUA
rnacentral:rRNA from 1 species